GCAUAUCAAUAAGCGGAGGAAAAGAAACUAACAAGGAUUCCCCUAGUAACGGCGAGUGAAGCGGGAAAAGCUCAAAUUUGAAAUCUGGCAGCCUCAGGUUGUCCGAGUUGUAAUCUAUAGAAACGUUUUCCGCGCCGGCCCAUGUACAAGUCCCUUGGAACAGGGCGUCAUAGAGGGUGAGAAUCCCGUCCUUGACACGGACCACCGGUGCUUUGUGAUACGUUUUCAACGAGUCGAGUUGUUUGGGAAUGCAGCUCAAAAUGGGUGGUAAAUUCCAUCUAAAGCUAAAUAUUGGCGAGAGACCGAUAGCGAACAAGUACCGUGAGGGAAAGAUGAAAAGCACUUUGGAAAGAGAGUUAAACAGUAUGUGAAAUUGUUGAAAGGGAAACGAUUGAAGUCAGUCGUGUCUAUUGGACUCAGCCGGUUCUGCCGGUGUACUUCCUUUAGAUGGGGUCAACAUCAGUUUUGAUCGCUGGAAAAGGGCGGGAGGAAUGUAGCACUCUCGGGUGAACUUAUAGCCUUCCGUCGUAUACAGUGGUUGGGACUGAGGAACGCAGCAUGCCUUUAUGGCCGGGGUUCGCCCACGUACAUGCUUAGGAUGUUGACAUAAUGGCUUUAAACGACCCGUCUUGAAACACGGACC
rnacentral:rRNA from 1 species